rnacentral:rRNA from 1 species
GAUGAACGCUGGCGGCGUGCCUAAUACAUGCAAGUCGAGCGAAUGGAUUAAGAGCUUGCUCUUAUGAAGUUAGCGGCGGACGGGUGAGUAACACGUGGGUAACCUGCCCAUAAGACUGGGAUAACUCCGGGAAACCGGGGCUAAUACCGGAUAACAUUUUGAACCGCAUGGUUCGAAAUUGAAAGGCGGCUUCGGCUGUCACUUAUGGAUGGACCCGCGUCGCAUUAGCUAGUUGGUGAGGUAACGGCUCACCAAGGCAACGAUGCGUAGCCGACCUGAGAGGGUGAUCGGCCACACUAGGACUGGAACACGGCCCAGACUCCUACGGGAGGCAGCAGUAGGGUAUCUUCCGCAAUGGACGAAAGUCUGACGGAGCAACGCCGCGUGAGUGAUGAAGGCUUUCGGGUCGUAAAACUCUGUUGUUAGGGAAGAACAAGUGCUAGUUGAAUAAGCUGGCACCUUGACGGUACCUAACCAGAAAGCCACGGCUAACUACGUGCCAGCAGCCGCGGUAA